GCAUUGGUGGUAUAGUGGUGAGCACAACUACCUUCCAAGCAGUUCACCUGGGUUUGAUUCACAGCCAGCGCA
rnacentral:tRNA from 1 species